rnacentral:lncRNA from 1 species
GCUUACUUAGUCUGCACAGUCCUCCCGGCCCCGCACAAGCCCGCCGAGACCCUCUCCCAACCUCAGUCGGAACCAGGACCCCUCGGCGGCGCCCUGCCUAACGACGGCAGCCGCUCCUCCCACUAGCGCACGCUCCCGGAAGACGCCCCCUCCCGCCAGGCGGCCCCGCCCGUCGCCCCGCCCAGGGGCGGGACUUCCCUUGGCUCCCGGAAGGAGGAGGAACGUGUCUCUUCUGGACUUGGAUACCUGGGCGGAGGCAGAGGCGGAGGCGGAGGCUGGGGAGGUUUGGAAGAUUCUCGUUUGUUUUCUGGGGGUCGAGCGCCUGUAAGCUCUGGGGGUCUGUGACGUUCCGCGCGCUUUCUCGCCAAGCCGUGUCGGAGGGUCCUGGGUCCCAGCCGCGGCGCCCUUCCCAUCAGGUGGCAAGGGGCGGGCGGGCAGGCUUGCUGCGCCAGGCGUCUGUGUCCCGCGGAGGAGCCAGAAGCUUAAGUGAAAAUGGUACACGUUAGAAGAUAUGAAACAAGGAAAAAUUCUAAAACUCAAGGGCAUGAACAGAAAUCUCGAGUCGAUUGGAGGCGGACUAAAAGAAGUAGUAUCUCGCAGUUAUGUGAAAGUGAUGACGAGCUUGAGAGUGAUGAAAGUGUUGACAGUAUUGAAAGUGCUGACAGUGACGAAGAUCCUGACAGUAGCAAGGGGUCUGAUCACAUUAAGAAGCCAGAAAAUGAAAGAGAGCUUAAAUUAAUUAAUGUUGAAGGUGAAGGAAACAGUAGUAAGCAUCUCAUUAACACUGACAAUAGUUCAACAUAUGAAGAAGAAAAGAACAAAACUAAACAUGGAAGUAUUGACUUAGCAGAUCAUGAAAAGGGUUCAGGUCAAGAGGAGGGUGAUCUCAACAAACACACUGGACAAAUAACAGAGGAGGAUUUAGAAGAAGAACCCAUCAAGCGAGGGAAGAGAAAAAGGAUCUCCUCUGUGAUGUGUGACAGUGAUGAGAGUGACGACAGUGAUAUCCUAGCUGGGAGAGUGGGUGUUAAACAUCCACGCAGAGUGGUCGAAGAUGAAUGUUCCUCAGUGGAGAUGGAGCAAAACAUUCCUGAAAAAACUUCAGCUACAAGAAAACGAGAACAGCUGCAGAAACUGAAAGAACUCUCAAAACAGAGAUCUCGUCAGAGACGUAAUAGUAGUAGAGAUUUUGAGGACUCUGAAAAGAAAUCCUCCCCCAGCAGUGAUGAAAAUGAUGUUGAGGAGGAAGAGGAAGAAGACAGUGAUUAUGAAUUUGGUGAAGAUGGAGAUCAUUAUAUUAUUGAUGGCUUUGUAGUACAAGAUGAGGAGGGUGAUGAAGAUAAUAAAAGCCAACGAGGAGAACAAUUGACUACAUCACAACGGAAAUCAAUAGAACAGAAUUCUCUUUGUAAGAAUAUCAUGUUUUAUCACUUAUUCUAA